GCGGGAAUAGCUCAGUUGGUAGAGCACGCGAGUUCGAGUCUCGUUUCCCGCUCCA
rnacentral:tRNA from 1 species